rnacentral:rRNA from 1 species
GACGUAGGGGGCCAGCGUUGUUCGGAAUUACUGGGUGUAAGGGUUCGUAGGCGGUGCGGCAAGUUGGGAGUGAAAUCUCUGGGCUUAACCCAGAGGCUGCUUCCAAAACUGCUGUGCUUGAGUGUGGGAGAGGCGCGUGGAAUUGCAGGUGUAGCGGUGAAAUGCGUAGAUAUCUGCAGGAACACCCGUGGCGAAAGCGGCGCGCUGGACCACUACUGACGUGAGGAACGAAAAGCUAGGGGGAGCAAACAGGG